rnacentral:rRNA from 1 species
AUUGAACGCUGGCGGCAGGCCUAACACAUGCAAGUCGAGCGGAGCGGCGGACGGGUGAGUAAUGCCUAGGAAUCUGCCUGGUAGUGGGGGAUAACGUCCGGAAACGGGCGCUAAUACCGCAUACUAUCAGAUCAGCCUAGGUCGGAUUAGCUAGUUGGUGGGGUAAAGGCCUACCAAGGCGACGAUCCGUAACUGGGCUGAGAGGAUGAUCAGUCACACUGGAACUGAGACACGGGCCAGACUCCUACGGGAGGCAGCAGUGGGGAAUAUUGGACAAUGGGCGAAAGCCUGAUCCAGCAAGGCCGCGGGUGUGAAGAAGGUCUUCGGAUGGUAAAGCACUGUAAGUUGGGAGGCGGUACCAACACAAUAAGCACCGGCUAACUACGUGCCAGCAGCCGCGGUAAUAC